AUUCAAUCUCCUUGUGCCUUGAUUUCCUUAUCAAUAAGUGAUUUGUUUUUAAAGAAGGAUUCACAAGCAAACAUAUCUGGUUUUUUUGUUUGUUUGUUUUUGAGACAGAGUCUCGCUCUGUUGUCCAGGCUGGAGUGCAGUGAUGCGAUCUUGACUCACUGCAACCUCCGCCUCCCAGGAGUUCAAGCGAUCCUCCUGCCUCAGUCUUCCGAGUAGCUGGGACUACAGGCAUGUGCCACCACACCCAGCUACUAUUUUUGUAUUUUUUUGUAGAGAUGGUUUCGCCAUGUUGGCCAGGCUGGUCUUGAACCCUUGACCUCAGGUGAUCCACCAGCCUCGGCCUCACAAAGUGCUGGGAUUACAGGUAUGAGCCACCACGCCCAGCCUGCAAACAUAUGUUGAACUCUUUGCACAGUGCCCUGCAUGAGAUAGAUGACAGCUCCUUCUUCCAUGUUGUUAAUUUGGUGUGAGUAUAUGUUAUAUGUAUGUAUAUGCAAGAUAAUAAUCUUCUUGUAACCACUGACAGGCCUUUUUGUGAAUGAUGAUGGAAAAAGCAAGAACCUUGUCCAGGUUCCUCUCCAGGGAGCAGGGGUGGGUUGUGAUUCUUGAUUUCAUUCCUUUAGAUAUGAAGAGUUUUCACACAGAGGCAGCACGAAUUUGUCUCUCUCCUAGAGGGUGGGGAGAGUUGCUGGGUGGAUAUAACUGCAUCACAGCCUUUCUGGGUAAACUGGCCACUCCCUACUGAUUUGUUAUCAUGCUAAAUGUGUCUCCUCCCUUCCUUUCUGGAGCUUUUGCAGCUGUUCCUGGAAGGAGACCCAGUUGAAAGGGGUUGUUAUGGACCAGGAACAGCUGGGAUCUUUAAUGAUCUGUGAGCAGCUUACAGCAAAGUUCCAACACCCUGAGUAUCAGUCCCCAAAUCCUUGGUCUUUGCAUUCCAACACAAAGUAAAAAGGAUUGAGCAGGGUUUUGGUUUUGGUUGCAAGUAACAGAAACCCAACGCUAAUUAAUAAACGGGAAAGUGUGUCAGUGGAAAUCUCCACAAGUCCGACGGAAAGAGAAAACUGCUUUCCCAAAGGGUGUAAGAGGAUGAAAGGCAUGUCAUCAGCUGAAUUGCAUCAGGUGUCCAUCUUGGAAUCAAUCACGGUGCCUCUUAUUAGCAAAGCCUGAGUCAUAGAGCUUUCUCCAGCUGGUAGAAAAAGGGGAAGUAUGAGACUUAAAGGUGGAGGUGGCCCCAUGGAAAAGACCUAAGGGUAGCCUGCGGGAACUGAGAGAAAACCCCAACUGGCAGCCAGCAAGAAAACAGGGACCUUAAUCUUACGACCACAAGGAACUGGACUCUGCUACCAGAAUGAGCUGCAAGGGAGAUUCUUCCUCAGAAGCUUCAGAUAAGAACUCCACCUGGCUGACCUUUGAUUUUGGUUUUGUGAGAACUUUGGCAGAUAACCCAGGCAUGUGUCAUUUCACAUCUGCAUAAAAAGACAUGCUGAAGGAUGUUCCUUGCAGAAUGGUUAUAGAGAAAAAUGGGAAUAACCACGAUAUAAAGUAACAGUCUGCUAUUUUAGGAAGUGGAUAAAAUGGCAUUUUGACAGAUCUGGAGGGUCUUGGAUCUACCUUUCAACAUUGGCAUUACUGAUAUUAGAGUACCACCACUCACUAGCUGUGGAGAUGUAGGAAGAUUACUUAACCACUCAGAGCCUUGGUUUCCUCAUUUGUUAUGUGAAGAUGACAAUAUCAGAUGACAGUGAGAUCUGAGAUGAAUUUAACUGCCUUCAGUAGUGCUGGCCUGCUCCUGAGAGAGAGAUGAUUGAGAGGGAGGAAGUAGAGAGGAGGAAGAAGCCUUUACUCACACUCCUUGAGGAGUGAUUCAGGUGGACAGCCUGAAUUACGGGAUUUAUUGGCAGCAAGUAAGUAUUGUCUGAGUGGAUUACUGCAAAAUGCUUUAGCUGGGGAUGGCUUUGAAAACCACUCAUCAAUUACAGAUGGUACCCAGUAUAGCAGCAGGAGUACCCUUGCGGGCUUUUGUUAUCUCCGACCUCUUCCUUCAUGGGUGACCGUUCUAACCCAAAGACCUCAACUGUUCAUCAAAAACCUGCCACUCAGAACUGCAUAUCAAUUAUUAAACAAUGUCCCAUGCAGGACAGUGACUUUAAAUUAUCUUGGAAAUGAUAAAGACCAACAUUUGUCUUUGUUAACAUGCUGAGUGAUUCUGUGGUCUCUAGUCACAGGUGAAAGGAUCAGAUUUGAGAUUUCUAGACACCAGAAUCACAUUAGGGUUAAGCAAAACUCCAUCUUUUCCCAGAGAAAAUUUAGCCAGAAAUGUUGCUUAUUUGAGAUGAGAAGUAAGAUGAAGUGUUCUAACAUGGCGGAGCUUGAUAUGCAAAUGAGCCCAUCUAGGGACAGUAGGGAUUGGUAAUGUGGGUCUGUGGAUGCCUGGAAGGCUCACAGAAAGACUUCAGGAAUUCCUGAGUCUCUUCAAAGUGUAAGCAAAAUUUUGUGUGUAUUUUCUUAUUUGCAUGAUAUGGCUUGGCUGUGUCCCCACCCAAACCUUAUCUCGAAUUGUAACUCCCACAAUUCCCACAUGUCGUGGAAGGAUCCUGGUGGGAUUCAUUAUGGGGGCAGGUCUUUCCAGUGCUGUUCUCAUGAUAGUGAAUGAGUCUCACAAUAUCUGAUGGUUUUAAAAACAGGAGUUUCUUUGCACAAGCUCUCUUUCUACCGCUGCCUCCAUGUAAGAUGUGACUUGCUCCUCCUUGCCUUCCACCAUGAUUGUGAGGCCUCCCCAUCCACGUGGAACUGCGAGGCCAAUUGAACUCCUUUCUUUUGUAAAUUGUCCAGUCUCAGGUAUGUCUUUAUCAGCAGUGUGAAAAUGGGCUAAUACAGUGCAUUUAUUUUUUUGAAGCAUGUCCAUACUUUCCAUUGGAUUCUCAAAGGGAUUCAGGACCUGGAAACUUUUUGAAAUACUGCUCCAUAGUAAAUGGCACAAAUCUCUCUGAAUCAAGGAUGUCUCUAGCCUUAGGCAAAGCUAGGUUGAAGGACAGAACAGAGAGUCAGCCUCUGGAGUGCCCUCUAUAAGGAAAAAGAAAACAUUACUAGAGUAAGUUGAUAAAGUAUAAAUUCAUCUCACUCCUACUGGACACUGCCCUUGAGUGAAAUUAAAAACUGAAAAAUUUUUGACAUAUCUUUUGAGCAUUUUUGUAAAAUACGCAUGUAGCUAUGGCCAAAAUUCUGGAAUAAAAUGGUACAUAUAGCCUUAGGUAUCCUGGCUCUGUUUCUUAAAGGAGUCAUAUUUACAGAAUUGCAGUUGUCCAGGUGCAGUGGCUCACGCCUGUAAUCCAAACAAUUUGGGAGGCCCAAGCAGGUGGAUCACUUGAAGUCAGGAGUUUGAGACCAGCCUGGUCAACAUGGUGAAACCCCAUCUCUAGUAAAAAUACAAAAAAAAAAUUAGCCGGGCAUGGUGGCGGGCACCAGUAAUCCCAGCUACUGGGGAGGCUGAGGCAGGACAAUUGCUUGAACCUGGGAGGCAGAGGUUGGGAGGUUGCAGUGACCCUAGAUAGCACCAUUGCACUCCAGCCUGGAUGACAGAGCGAGAUUCCAUCUCAAAAAAAAAGAAAGAAAGAAAGAAAGAAUUACAGUUGAUUAGCCACAAAUAAUUUCUAAAAUGUUUUUGCUCACAUCUCUCAUAAAAAUAAAAGAAUAUCCAUGUCCUGUCUUAUUUCUUAUAGCUGCCAGUACACCCCCCAGUUUCCUCUUAUAACUGUUUCAUCCAGAAUCCUUCACAUGGUUACCCUUCACUUUCUCUAUUCCAGUCCAGGUUGCUUAUUUUCUUUUCUCUGGCCUUCUCCCUGUUGCUUUGCUCUUCAUCGUGUAGAUUGAUUUAGUUGUUUUGGCUCAGUCCUUCCUUCUGUCUUCUGUUUCU
rnacentral:lncRNA from 1 species